UUACGGACAUAUCACGUAGAAACACCGGUUCCCGUACGAUCGCUGAAGUUAAGCAAUGUCGAGCCUAGUCAGUAUCUAAAUGGGUGACCGCUUAGGAAUACCAGCUAUUGUAA